GCUAGCUGAGUAGCUUCCUCACAUGAAAGAAUCCAAAGUCGCUGUCAGAAUUCGAACUCACAGCGGUGAGAGAUAAGUGGUUUGAAGCUUACGAUCUUAAUCACUUUAUGAUUUAAGUAAUUACUUAAGCCGCCUCCUGCCGGCAUUCUUACAUUUGUUAUAUUUUCUUUUAUCUAGAAACAGUUAAUGGACAGACAUUCUGUGAUUUCUUACAAACAAAUGGCGCCGCCUAUAAUGGUUUGAUGGGGAGAGAGGAAGUCAUGCUAAUGCUGUCUCUAAGAGAUCCAAGAGUUUUUCAGAGUAUGGUGUCAGACGCUGUCGGCUGUGGUGUACAGAGAAUUGGACAAACCAUGAGUUCUCUCGGAAGUUCUGUCAGAGAACUGGGAGGUAGCAUGUAUUCCAGUGUCAGAAGUUGGUUCACCUAGACAUAAUACAGGCAUUGUUAUGAUGAUGUGAAAUAUGAACAAUGUACAACAUAUUGAAAUAUACGAGUUUUAGUUGUUUAAACAACAUAUUAGCAAUUAUGAUAAGAU